rnacentral:tRNA from 1 species
GGGCUGGUAGCUCAGUUGGUAGAGCAGGUGACUCUUAAUCACUUUGUCGGGGGUUCGAACCCCUCCCAGCCCACCA